GGCAAGAUGGCCGAGUGGUUAAGGCGCAUGGUUCAGGUCCAUGUCUCGAAAGGGGCGAGGGUUCGAAUCCCUCUCUUGUCA
rnacentral:tRNA from 14 species